CUCGAGUGGCGAACGGGUGAGUAACACGUGGGCAAUCUGCCCUGCACUUCGGGAUAAGCCUGGGAAACUGGGUCUAAUACCGGAUAGGACCUUUAGACGCAUGUCUUUUGGUGGAAAGCUUUUGCGGUGUGGGAUGGGCCCGCGGCCUAUCAGCUUGUUGGUGGGGUGAUGGCCUACCAAGGCGACGACGGGUAGCCGGCCUGAGAGGGUGUCCGGCCACACUGGGACUGAGAUACGGCCCAGACUCCUACGGGAGGCAGCAGUGGGGAAUAUUGCACAAUGGGCGCAAGCCUGAUGCAGCGACGCCGCGUGGGGGAUGACGGCCUUCGGGUUGUAAACCUCUUUCACCAUCGACGAAGGUCCGGGUUUUCUCGGAUUGACGGUAGGUGGAGAAGAAGCACCGGCCAACUACG
rnacentral:rRNA from 1 species